GGCGGACGGGUGAGUAAUGCUUGGGAAUAUGCCUUUUGGUGGGGGACAACAGUUGGAAACGACUGCUAAUACCGCAUGAUGUCUACGGACCAAAGUGGGGGACCUUCGGGCCUCACGCCAAGAGAUUAGCCCAAGUGGGAUUAGCUAGUUGGUAAGGUAAUGGCUUACCAAGGCGACGAUCCCUAGCUGGUUUGAGAGGAUGAUCAGCCACACUUGGACUGAGACACGGCCCAGACUCCUACGGGAGGCAGCAGUGGGGAAUAUUGCACAAUGGGCGCAAGCCUGAUGCAGCCAUGCCGCGUGUGUGAAGAAGGCCUUCGGGUUGUAAAGCACUUUCAGUAAGGAGGAAAGGUUAAGUUUUAAUAGGGCUUAGCUGCGACGUUACUUACAGAAGAAGCACCGGCUAACUCCGUGCCAGCAGCCGCGGUAAUACGGAGGGUGCGAGCGUUAAUCGGAAUUACUGGGCGUAAAGCGUAC
rnacentral:rRNA from 1 species